CCUACGGGUGGCAGCAGUGGGGAAUAUUGGGCAAUGGGCGCAAGCCUGACCCAGCAACGCCGCGUGAAGGAAGAAGGCUUUCGGGUUGUAAACUUCUUUUCUCAGGGACGAAGAAAGUGACGGUACCUGAGGAAUAAGCCACGGCUAACUACGUGCCAGCAGCCGCGGUAAUACGUAGGUGGCAAGCGUUAUCCGGAUGUAUUGGGUGUAAAGGGCGUGUAGGCGGGAGCGCAAGUCAGAUGUGAAACCUCAGGGCUCAACCCUGAGCCUGCAGUUGAAACUGUGUUUCUUGAGUGCUGGGGAGGCAAUCGGAAUUCCGGGUGUAGCGGUGAAAUGCGUAGAGAUACGGAGGAACACCAGUGGCGAAGGCGGCUUACUGGACUGUAACUGACGUUGAGGCUCGAAAGCGUGGGGAGCAAACAGGAUUAGAUACCCCAGUAGUC
rnacentral:rRNA from 1 species